rnacentral:lncRNA from 1 species
UUUUUUUUUUUUUUUUUUUUUUUUUUUUUUUNGCUUUUUAGGGCCGUACCUGCAGCCUAUGGAGGUUCCCAGGCUAGGGGUUGAAUCAGAGCUGUAGCUGCUGACCUACACCACACCCACAGCAACACCAGAUCUGAGCCACGUCUGCAACCUACACCACAGCUCAUGGCAACACCAGAUCCUUAACCCACUGAACAAGGCCAGGGAUUGAACCUGCAACCUCAUGGUUCCUAGUCGGAUUUGCUUCUGCUGUGCCACAACAGGAACUCCAGGUUAACUCCUUGAAUGGAGUUCUAAAUGAAAUGUGAAAGAUGUGAGUUGCCCUUUAAAGUGAGAGUGUCUGGAAUAUUUUUCCUGAGGUGUGAGGUUUCCAAGGAAGAUGCAAAAGAAAAAUGAUUAUAAAGCUAUUAUAGAUAUAGACAUUUAACCCAAUGGAAAAAAGGUAGUUGCUAUGUGCCAAUUCAUUACCAGUGCUGCUCUAUUUGAGAUAAUUUCAUGAAAUAUUGAAGCUGAAAUUCUUGACAAAUGCUUCUCACUAAUAAUAAAGUGAAACAUGAUCUUGAAACAAAAUGAAUAAAUGCGCUUGUGCUCACUAGACAUCUCACAAGAUGACCUUUUCCAUUACCUAAAUGUCUGUUUAUGUAAAACGCAUAUAUUCACAUUUUUCAUCUCUGUCUGAAAUAGGUCAAUGUAAAAGCCAGAACAGGAAAAUGAAAAAGUAUUAUACUAGAACACACACAGACAGACACACAGACGCACACACAUCAUUUGUCAUCAUUAGGGCAAAUAUCAUUUUUCAUGCAUAAUACUGUGAUUGAGAGGACUCAAAGCUAUUAUCCUCAGGCAUUAGCUUAGCAGUCAAACUUUAAAUGAUGUUGAUGACUCUCAGAGAACUGCCAGGUCUCAUUAAACUUGGCCAACAAUUAUCACAGUGAGAGCUGUGAAAUAAUUCCAGGGCCUCUAAGAAGGGAUCCACACUUGCUACUUUUAAGAGAGCUAGGAAAACGGUGUUGGACAAAUUCUAAACAGGACCGCUUUCAUCUACAAAAAAGUUGAGCGGUAUACUAUGACAUCUCCAGUACCCCCUCAUUUGUCAAUCUGCCGUCUCACAGUGAAGCUCAGAUAACUUCAAAACCUAGGAAGUUGCUUUGUUGUUUCAUUGCUAGUAUCUCUGUCGUUAGAGUUUUCCAGAGCAGUAUCACCAGACUGAAUUUAUGCUGCCAGGGAGUCAGUUGCUUAUUAGCACUUUUAACAUCCAGAUGGUUUGAAACAAAGGCUCAACUGGGGGUAACUCCCAAGAGUAAUCAGUGGAAACUCUCUUUUGCUGAGGGACUCUUGACUACUGGGCAGUGGGCCAGGGCAUGGGUUUCUUUCACAACCUCUCAACACUGCUGUGUCUUUUCUAUAAUCCUUGAAAAUUGUGUCACCUGAGAAGCCAAGAGUUAAACUGGCUGUACAGUCUGAACUGGGAAGGUUGGAAGUAAAUCUGAAUGGACCAAUAGCCUGGAUCUGUUUCAUGAAUAAACAGAGGUGUUCAGGCUUGGGACCCUAUAAAGUUAAGUCAAUAUUAGCUGUAGAGGAAAUCCUGUUUGUUCUUUUUUCUUUUAUAGUUGCAUUUAAAAAAGAACUCAAGUAGAGGUUCGGGUAUGUUCUCAAACUAAAAAAACCAUUUCUCACACACACAUACACACACACACACACACGCACACAAUCAAGAAUGUUGGUAACCAAACAGAGAGGAAAUCACUGUUGACUUUACUAUUAGGCACAUGAGUAUCAAGGAUGUUUUCCCAAUAUCCUUCAAGUAUAAAACUUAAGAUGCCCCUAUUUAUGAAAUGGGAAAUAUGCAGCCAGAUUCUAAAGCCAUGUAGUUACCCUAUCAUAAUUAUUAAGAUAAAGAUAAGUGAUUGUUAUUAAAACUCUUUAGUUCUGCUUAUUGGGCACAAAUUUCUCCCAGUACUCCUCAUUGCCUAGAAAUUGUAUGUAACAAAGGCUGAGAAAGCAAAUGUUUAAACUUCUAGGGUACUAGGACAAUGAUUUUGAACCUCUUUGGAGUUGUGACACUCUAUCUUUGUUAGAUUUCACAACUAUCUCUCCUGUCAUACCAUCCUCCACACCUCCAAGAAAAAAUUAUUACUCUACUAUGUGGAAUUUAAAAAAAAAAACACUUAAAUGAAUUUUUUUUUUUGUCUUUUUUAGGGAUACACCCGCAGCAUAUGGAGGUUCCCAGGCUAGGAGUCAAAUCAGAGCUACAGCUGCUGGCCUAUGCAACAGCCACAGCAACACCAGAUCCGAGCCGCAUCUUCAACCUACACCACAGCUCACAGCAACACUGGAUCCUUAACCCACUGAGCGAGGCCAGGGAUCGAACCCACAACCUCAUGGCUCCUAGUCAGAUUUGUUAACCACUGAGCCACAAUGGGAACUCCUUAAAUGAAUUUAAAUUGAUCUUACUUAAAUUCAGGGUUUUUUGUUGUUGUUGUUGUUUGUCUUUUAGGGCCAUAGCAUAUGGAAGUUCCUAGGCUAGGGGUCGAAUCGGAGCUGCCUAUGCCACAGCCACAGCAAUAUCAGAUCCCAGCUGCGUCUGCAACCUACACCACAAUGCAUGACAACUCAGGAUCCUUAACCCACUGAGCGAGGCCAGCUCUGAUUGGACCCCUAACCUGGGAACUUACAUAAGCUAUGGGUGCGGCCCUAAAAAGCAAAAAAAAUUAAAAAAACAGAGCCUGUUACAAAAUAAGUGCUCCAGAAGUUUGAGCUCUUAUUAUUGUUUUUGACUCUGUCUUAAUCUUGCUUUCUUGGUGGUUUUCGUUUCUGGUUUUGUUUUUUUUGUUGUUGUUUUUUGUUUUUGUUUUUGUUUUUUUGGCUAUGCCCAUGGCAUGCAGAAGUUCCUGGGCCAGGGAUUGAACCUGUACCACAGCAGUCACCCAAGACACAGAAGUGACAACACCAAGUCCUUAAACUACUAAGCCACCAGCCAAGGCCCGUCUGUCUGAGCUCAUCUGUCUUAAUCUUUUAUUUCUCAAUUUGUUGAAAAGCUGGGCAGGAAGAAGUUCUAUUUAUUGGUAUCUUCCAACUCUUACCUCUAACAGUUAUGGAUGUUUAAGAAAUCUUAAAUGAUUUUUAGAGUUAUUGCCAUUUUGUUAAUAGUUCUUGGUCCCUUUAUUAGAUGAAAUCUGAAAGCCUUUAUUAGUGGAUUCCAAAUGCCAGGCUAGCCUUCCAUGCUACACAGUCCAUG